GUCGGACGUGGUGUUUUUUAACAUUAACUAUUUGUUUAAAGCAUCGAACGAAUGCAAAACGUGUUUCGACUUGUGUGUUUAUCAUGCAUAAAUGUAAACUUCGAUAGGAAUACCAUAAAAUAGUGUGGUUAAAACUAAGUUUCGAUAAAGACAUGGAAGAAUAGAAGUGAAAGUGCAUAUCUUUCCAAGGCUUUCGUUAUCCUGGUCUAUCGUAAGUGCGUGGAUAUAACAAAAAGAACAGUUGUAUCAGGGUUCGCCAAAACCGUCGGUCCGCCGGUCCUGACCGGCAAAUUUUUCUAAGGACCGACAAGUGAUUUUAGAUAAUCGGUCCGACUGUCACUGACCGACACAAUCGGAUGAAAAAUGGUUUUAAAAAGAUCACUCGAAGUGUAUAAUAUGCUAUUGGAUAAAUAGAAGACAACAAGAAUGGGUGGUGGUAAUUAUCAUGGGCCUUUCUAUCAAGAAAUAGGUGUGAAAGACAUUCAUUAAAUUGAACCUGGAAAUCAACCACCUCAGCUAAGAGAAAAUAUUUUAACAAUAGGUGUUGUUUUAGAACUUGUGAAAUCGGCUAAUAAACAGAAAUUGAAGUCAUCCAAAGUAGUGUGAAUGGGUGUGUGCAAUUAAGUCAAACUUGAUUGGAUGUCACCCUAACUUUUCAAGAACACGGAUUUGUAGAGCUGUGCAGGCUAAAAAACAGUUUAACAAAAAGAAGUCUAAAAAGAAUACCUUUGGUUUAUAUGUGGUUUAUUAUUAAUAUAAAAAUUGGUUAAUUAUAUCGACUUUGGACAUUUUUUUAUUGUAUUUUAAUGUGAUCAAAACUAAUAAACAUCAAAAAGGUA